rnacentral:tRNA from 1 species
GAGAGUAUAGCUCAAGUGAUAGAGCACAUGCUUGGCAUACACAAGGUCCUGGGUUCAAUCCCCAGUACCUCCU